rnacentral:lncRNA from 1 species
CUAACGGAGGAGGGAAGCGAGUUCCACAGGAACGGUGCAGCCCUUGAGAAAUCUUGAAAGCGAGCAUCAGAGGUGGGAGUACGGACAGAAGAUAGACGUAAGUCUUCGGCAGAUCGUAAGGGCCUAGACGGGACAUACUUGUGUAUAAGGGAGGAUAGAUAGGUGGAAGCAGCAUUAUGUAGCGAUUUGAAAGCAAGAACCAGAAUUUUAAAUUGAGCUCUAUAUUUUAUAGGAAGCCAAUGUAGGGACUGACAGAAGGGUGAGGCAUGGGAGGUGCGGGCUGACAGGAAGAUGAGCCUCGCCGCCGCAUUCAUUAUGGACUGUAACGGCGCAAGUUGGGAGCACGUAAG